rnacentral:miRNA from 1 species
UGCCUUUCCCUGGGAGACCUUCCUG